AUUGAACGCUGGCGGCAGGCCUAACACAUGCAAGUCGAACGAGUGGCGGACGGGUGAGUAAUGUCUGGGAAACUGCCUGAUGGAGGGGGAUAACUACUGGAAACGGUAGCUAAUACCGCAUACCAUCAGAUGUUCCCAGAUUGGCUUAGCUAGUUGGGGGGGUAACGGCUCACCAAGGCGACGAUCCCUAGCUGGUAUGAGAGGAUGACCAGCCACACUGGAACGGAGACACGGUCCAGACUCCUACGGGAGGCAUCAGUGGGGAAGUUUGCACAAUGUGCGCAAUCCUGAUGCAGCCAUGCCGCGUGUAUGAAGAAGGCCUUCGGGUUGUAAAGUACUUUCAGCGGGGAGGCGUUAGCGGAAGAAGAAGCACCGGCUAACUCCGUGCCAGCCGCCGCGGUAAUUG
rnacentral:rRNA from 1 species